rnacentral:rRNA from 1 species
GCAAGUCGAACGGCAGCAGCAUCUAGCUUGCUAGGUGGCUGGCGAGUGGCGGACGGGUGAGUAACGCGUAGGAAUCUACCUAGUAGUGGGGGAUAGCCAAGGGAAACUUUGGGUAAUACCGCAUACGAUCUAAGGAUGAAAGGGGGCCUCUCUUUGAAGCUCUCGCUAUUAGAUGAGCCUGCGUAAGAUUAGCUUGUUGGUGGGGUAAUGGCCCACCAAGGCGACGAUCUUUAGCUGGUCUGAGAGGAUGAUC